AGCCCUAUAUAAGUUUAUGAAACUUGAUAGCACAAAGUCAUAUCUCAUGAUUAAUUUGUCAUAUAAUUUGCAGCUAAACAUAUGCUCGGGUGGUGGAUGUAUUGGUUUGUUCAAAAAGUCAUAUCUCAUGAUUAAUCGCUACCACUAACACAGGAACAAGCACAAGCAGCUCAGGUUCAUCCACAACUGUUGCUGAUUGUCUUGUAGCUGCUGAUGUAUUACUACAUUUUAUGUAUUAAGACUGAUUGUGUUAAGACUGAUUGUGUCUUGUAGCUGCUGAUGUGUUAAGACUAAUGUAUUAAGACCGAUGUAUGUGUGUGUGUUAUUGGUUAAUUGAUAUGGAUUGUUGUCUUGUAGUC